rnacentral:tRNA from 1 species
UCCUCCGUGGCGCAAUUGGCUAGCGCGUUCGACUGUUAAUCCAAACAGGUAAUCGAGAGGUUGACAGUUCAAGCCUGUCCGGGGGAG